rnacentral:rRNA from 1 species
CCCCUAGAUGUUCUGGGCCGCACGCGCGCUACACUGAACAGUUCAACAAGUCUUAACCUUGGCCGAUAGGUCUGGGUAAUCUUUGAACGCUGUUCGUGAUUGGGAUAGACCUUUGCAAUUAUGGGUCUUCAACGAGGAAUUCCUAGUAAACGCAAGUCAUCAGCUUGCAUUGAUUACGUCCCUGCCCUUUGUACACACCGCCCGUCGCACCUACCGAUUGAAUGGUCAGGUGAAAUCUCGGGACGGCGGCUUGGUCGCUUGCGUCCGACUGCUGAAACUUGAUUAAACCAUAUCAUUUAGAGGAAGGUGAAGUCGUAACA